UCAGGAAUAGCCUAAUUGGUAGGGCGCGCGGUUCUGACCCGCGAUGUAGAGGUUCGACCCCUUUUUCCUGAA
rnacentral:tRNA from 1 species